rnacentral:rRNA from 1 species
UACGGGGGGAGCAAGCGUUGUUCGGAUUUACUGGGCGUAAAGGGCGCGUAGGCGGCCACUGCAAGUCGGUUGUGAAAUCUCCGGGCUUAACUCGGAACGGCCAAGUGAAACUGUGGAGCUAGAGUGUGGAAGGGGCAAUCGGAAUUCUUGGUGUAGCGGUGAAAUGCGUAGAUAUCAAGAGGAACACCUGAGGUGAAGACGGGUUGCUGGGCCAACACUGACGCUGAGGCGCGAAAGCCAGGGGAGCAAACGGG